GCGAAAACUUUACAAUGCGAGCAAUCGUGAUAAGGGAACUCCGAGUGCCUGUAAAAUCAGGCUGUCCGCCAGUGUAAAUAACUGGUGAAGAAAGGGCCGGGCAAGACCGGUGCCAGCCGCCGCGGUAAUACCGGCGGCUCGAGUGGUGGCCACUAUUACUGGGCUUAAAGCGUUCGUAGCUGGUUUGUUAAGUCUCUGGGGAAAUCUUCCGGCUCAACCGGAAGGCGUCUCAGGGAUACUGGCAGACUAGGGACCGGAAGAGGUGAGAGGUACUUCAGGGGUAGGAGUGAAAUCCUGUAAUCCUUGAGGGACCACCUGUGGCGAAGGCGUCUCACCAGGACGGCUCCGACAGUGAGGAACGAAAGCUGGGGGAGCAAACC
rnacentral:rRNA from 1 species